GACGAACGCUGGCGGCGUGCCUAAUACAUGCAAGUAGAACGCUGAAGAGAGGAGCUUGCUCUUCUUGGAUGAGUUGCGAACGGGUGAGUAACGCGUAGGUAACCUGCCUUGUAGCGGGGGAUAACUAUUGGAAACGAUAGCUAAUACCGCAUAACAAUGGAUGACACAUGUCAUUUAUUUGAAAGGGGCAAUUGCUCCACUACAAGAUGGACCUGCGUUGUAUUAGCUAGUUGGUGAGGUAACGGCUCACCUAGGCGACGAUACAUAGCCGACCUGAGAGGGUGAUCGGCCACACUGGGACUGAGACACGGCCCAGACUCCUACGGGAGGCAGCAGUAGGGAAUCUUCGGCAAUGGGGGCAACCCUGACCGAGCAACGCCGCGUGAGUGAAGAAGGUUUUCGGAUCGUAAAGCUCUGUUGUAAGUCAAGAACGAGUGUGAGAGUGGAAAGUUCACACUGUGACGGUAGCUUACCAGAAAGGGACGGCUAA
rnacentral:rRNA from 1 species